GGUUAAGUUAGAAAGGGCGCACGGUGGAUGCCUUGACACUAGGAGUCGAUGAAGGACGGGACUAACGCCGAUAUGCUUCGGGGAGCUGUAAGUAAGCUUUGAUCCGAAGAUUUCCGAAUGGGGAAACCCACCAUACGUAAUGGUAUGGUAUCCUUAUCUGAAUACAUAGGGUAAGGAAGACAGACCCAGGGAACUGAAACAUCUAAGUACCUGGAGGAAGAGAAAGCAAAUGCGAUUUCCUGAGUAGCGGCGAGCGAAACGGAACAUAGCCCAAACCAAGAGGCUUGCCUCUUGGGGUUGUAGGACAUUCUAUACGGAGUUACAAAGGAACGAGGUAGACGAAGCGACCUGGAAAGGUCCGUCGUAGAGGGUAACAACCCCGUAGUCGAAACUUCGUUCUCUCUUGAAUGUAUCCUGAGUACGGCGGAACACGUGAAAUUCCGUCGGAAUCUGGGAGGACCAUCUCCCAAGGCUAAAUACUCCCUAGUGAUCGAUAGUGAACCAGUACCGUGAGGGAAAGGUGAAAAGCACCCCGGAAGGGGAGUGAAAGAGAUCCUGAAACCGUGUGCCUACAAAUAGUCAGAGCCCGUUAACGGGUGAUGGCGUGCCUUUUGUAGAAUGAACCGGCGAGUUACGAUCCCGUGCGAGGUUAAGCUGAAGAGGCGGAGCCGCAGCGAAAGCGAGUCUGAAUAGGGCGUUUAGUACGUGGUCGUAGACCCGAAACCAGGUGAUCUACCCAUGUCCAGGGUGAAGUUCAGGUAACACUGAAUGGAGGCCCGAACCCACGCACGUUGAAAAGUGCGGGGAUGAGGUGUGGGUAGCGGAGAAAUUCCAAUCGAACCUGGAGAUAGCUGGUUCUCCCCGAAAUAGCUUUAGGGCUAGCCUUAAGUGUAAGAGUCUUGGAGGUAGAGCACUGAUUGGACUAGGGGUCCUCAUCGGAUUACCGAAUUCAGUCAAACUCCGAAUGCCAAUGACUUAUCCUUAGGAGUCAGACUGCGAGUGAUAAGAUCCGUAGUCAAAAGGGAAACAGCCCAGACCGCCAGCUAAGGUCCCAAAGUGUGUAUUAAGUGGAAAAGGAUGUGGAGUUGCUUAGACAACUAGGAUGUUGGCUUAGAAGCAGCCACCAUUUAAAGAGUGCGUAAUAGCUCACUAGUCGAGUGACUCUGCGCCGAAAAUGUACCGGGGCUAAAUACACCACCGAAGCUGCGGAUUGAUACCGAAUGGUAUCAGUGGUAGGGGAGCGUUCUAAGGACAGUGAAGUCAGACCGUAAGGACUGGUGGAGUGCUUAGAAGUGAGAAUGCCGGUAUGAGUAGCGAAAGACGGGUGAGAAUCCCGUCCACCGAAUGCCUAAGGUUUCCUGAGGAAGGCUCGUCCGCUCAGGGUUAGUCAGGACCUAAGCCGAGGCCGACAGGCGUAGGCGAUGGACAACAGGUUGAUAUUCCUGUACCACCUCUUUAUCGUUUGAGCAAUGGAGGGACGCAGAAGGAUAGAAGAAGCGUGCGAUUGGUUGUGCACGUCCAAGCAGUUAGGCUGAUAAGUAGGCAAAUCCGCUUAUCAUAAAGGCUGAGCUGUGAUGGGGAAGCUCCUUAUGGAGCGAAGUCUUUGAUUCCCCGCUGCCAAGAAAAGCUUCUAGCGAGAUAAAAGGUGCCUGUACCGCAAACCGACACAGGUAGGCGAGGAGAGAAUCCUAAGGUGUGCGAGAGAACUCUGGUUAAGGAACUCGGCAAAAUGACCCCGUAACUUCGGGAGAAGGGGUGCUUUCUUAACGGAAAGCCGCAGUGAAUAGGCCCAAGCGACUGUUUAGCAAAAACACAGCUCUCUGCGAAGCCGUAAGGCGAAGUAUAGGGGGUGACACCUGCCCGGUGCUGGAAGGUUAAGGAGAGGGGUUAGCGUAAGCGAAGCUCUGAACUGAAGCCCCAGUAAACGGCGGCCGUAACUAUAACGGUCCUAAGGUAGCGAAAUUCCUUGUCGGGUAAGUUCCGACCCGCACGAAAGGUGUAACGAUUUGGGCACUGUCUCAACCAGAGACUCGGUGAAAUUAUAGUACCUGUGAAGAUGCAGGUUACCCGCGACAGGACGGAAAGACCCCGUGGAGCUUUACUGUAGCCUGAUAUUGAAUUUUGGUACAGUUUGUACAGGAUAGGCGGGAGCCAUUGAAACCGGAGCGCUAGCUUCGGUGGAGGCGCUGGUGGGAUACCGCCCUGACUGUAUUGAAAUUCUAACCUACGGGUCUUAUCGACCCGGGAGACAGUGUCAGGUGGGCAGUUUGACUGGGGCGGUCGCCUCCUAAAGUGUAACGGAGGCGCCCAAAGGUUCCCUCAGAAUGGUUGGAAAUCAUUCGUAGAGUGCAAAGGCAUAAGGGAGCUUGACUGCGAGACCUACAAGUCGAGCAGGGACGAAAGUCGGGCUUAGUGAUCCGGUGGUUCCGCAUGGAAGGGCCAUCGCUCAACGGAUAAAAGCUACCCCGGGGAUAACAGGCUUAUCUCCCCCAAGAGUCCACAUCGACGGGGAGGUUUGGCACCUCGAUGUCGGCUCAUCGCAUCCUGGGGCUGUAGUCGGUCCCAAGGGUUGGGCUGUUCGCCCAUUAAAGCGGUACGCGAGCUGGGUUCAGAACGUCGUGAGACAGUUCGGUCCCUAUCCGUCGUGGGCGUAGGAAAUUUGAGAGGAGCUGUCCUUAGUACGAGAGGACCGGGAUGGACGCACCGCUGGUGUACCAGUUGUUCUGCCAAGGGCAUAGCUGGGUAGCUAUGUGCGGAAGGGAUAAGUGCUGAAAGCAUCUAAG
rnacentral:rRNA from 1 species